GCGCCGGCGGGGGGCGAGGCGGGGCGAGGCGGGGCGGGCGGCGCUGCAGUGCCCGACGCGGCGGGCUGGGGGAGCUGUGCCCGCCUGUCCCCAAGGCCCGGGCGGGGACCGGCCAGCUGGGUCGCCGCGCCUCUGGGCUGGCAGGGCGAGGCGACGCGUUGCCAAGCGCGCCUGGAGCGGGCUCGGGCCCCAAGUCCUCCCGGGCGCCCGGCCGGGGAGGCCCCGGGAGAAGCCGGGUCCCGCGGGGAAGGGAGGCCGCCGGGGCUGCCGCUCCGGCCCGCCCCCGGGGUGUCCCGGGCCGCUGGACCCGCCCAGGUAACCCCAUCCUCGGCCCGCCCCCGGCCCGCCCCCCCGGCCGGCCGCCCGCCUCCGCCGCCGCUCGCAGGCGCUGGGGCGGCGCUGACAGUCUAGUCCGCGCCGGGCAGCGGGCGCAGCAGCGGGCAGGGCUGCCGGCAGGCACGGAGGCAGAGCCCCGCGCGCGCCCCGGCCCGCGCCCGGCGCCGCGCCCCAGCCCACCCGCCGGCGCCCACCUGCGGCCCGGACGGGAGGCCCCCCGCGGCCGGGCGCCCGCGGCCGCACCAUGAGUCCCCGCUCGUGCCUGCGUUCGCUGCGCCUCCUGGUCUUCGCCGUCUUCUCGGCCGCCGCCAGCAACUGGCUCUACCUGGCCAAGCUGUCGUCGGUGGGAAGCAUCUCGGAGGAGGAGACAUGUGAGAAGCUCAAGGGGCUGAUCCAGCGGCAGGUGCAGCUGUGCAAGCGGAACCUGGAGGUGAUGGACUCCGUGCGCCGUGGCGCCCAGCUGGCCAUCGAGGAGUGCCAGUACCAGUUCCGGAACCGGCGCUGGAACUGCUCCACACUCGACUCCCUGCCUGUCUUUGGCAAGGUGGUGACACAAGGGACCCGGGAGGCGGCCUUCGUGUACGCCAUCUCUUCGGCAGGUGUGGCCUUCGCCGUGACACGCGCCUGCAGCAGCGGGGAGCUGGAGAAGUGUGGCUGCGACCGGACGGUCCACGGGGUCAGCCCCCAGGGCUUCCAGUGGUCCGGCUGCUCGGACAACAUCGCCUACGGUGUGGCGUUCUCCCAGUCGUUCGUGGACGUGCGGGAGAGGAGCAAGGGGGCCUCAUCCAGCCGCGCCCUCAUGAACCUCCACAACAACGAGGCGGGCAGGAAGGCCAUCCUGACACACAUGCGGGUGGAGUGCAAGUGCCACGGCGUGUCGGGCUCCUGCGAGGUGAAGACGUGCUGGCGCGCCGUGCCACCCUUCCGCCAGGUGGGCCACGCACUGAAGGAGAAGUUUGACGGCGCCACCGAGGUGGAGCCACGCCGGGUGGGCUCCUCCAGGGCGCUGGUGCCACGCAACGCGCAGUUCAAGCCGCACACGGACGAGGACCUGGUGUACCUGGAGCCCAGCCCGGACUUCUGCGAGCAGGACAUGCGCAGUGGCGUGCUGGGCACGCGGGGCCGCGUGUGCAACAAGACGUCCAAGGCCAUCGACGGCUGCGAGCUGCUGUGCUGCGGCCGCGGCUUCCACACGGCCCAGGUGGAGCUGGCCGAGCGCUGCAGCUGCAAGUUCCACUGGUGCUGCUUCGUCAAGUGCCGCCAGUGCCAGCGGCUCGUGGAGCUGCACACGUGCCGGUGACUGCCGCCCUGCGCCCGGCGCCGCCACCACGGGCUGGGGACAGCCGGCCGUUCAAACAGUUCCCCUCGCCACCCGCCCCCAAAGAUACUGGUUGUAUUUUUUGUUUUGGUUUGGUUUUUGGGUCCUCCUCUUUUAUUUAUUGCCGAAACCAGGCAGGAGACACGUAACCCCCCUGCUCCCCGGGCCCGACAGGGCAUCUGCCGGGGUCUCCCUGAAGCCUGGACCUCGGUGGCUGCCACUGACCAAAAGGACGUUGCUUGUGCUUCCAGCUGUCCACAUGUGGCCGCUGCUGACCGCUCUGCUGUCACGUGUCCGUCUUUCUACCUGCACACUGAAGGGGGCUCCUCCGGGGGUCUGAAGGCUGCGACCUGAGCACAAACUGGACUCGAGCAACCUCUGCCCCCACCCUAACCGCUCCCCUGAAGCCAAAGGAAUCCACAAUUGCAGGAGAACGGAGCUACUUGGACAACCAGCUCAAACUGUCCCAAAAGAAAAAGAGAAGGAGCUGGCCCGGGCCCGACGCAGCGCCCCCACUCUGGAACGGCAGGCGGGUCUGCGUUGCGCGGAAAGCCCUCUCCAGAGCCUCGCCCAGGCCAAGGCGAACUACUGGGAAGAGAAGUCCCAGUUCUGGAUGCUGCUACACCCCUGCUAUCCCCAUCCCACCCUCCAGUUUUAUACCAGGUCCUCGCCAUUGUGACAUCCCCCAUCCCCCCCGAAUAGUCUGAUGCACGAUAAAAUGAUUAUUUCUUUAUC